rnacentral:rRNA from 2 species
AAAUUGAAGAGUUUGAUCAUGGCUCAGAUUGAACGCUGGCGGCAGGCCUAACACAUGCAAGUCGAACGGUAACAGGAAGCAGCUUGCUGCUUCGCUGACGAGUGGCGGACGGGUGAGUAAUGUCUGGGAAACUGCCUGAUGGAGGGGGAUAACUACUGGAAACGGUGGCUAAUACCGCAUAACGUCGCAAGACCAAAGAGGGGGACCUUCGGGCCUCUUGCCAUCAGAUGUGCCCAGAUGGGAUUAGCUUGUUGGUGAGGUAACGGCUCACCAAGGCGACGAUCCCUAGCUGGUCUGAGAGGAUGACCAGCCACACUGGAACUGAGACACGGUCCAGACUCCUACGGGAGGCAGCAGUGGGGAAUAUUGCACAAUGGGCGCAAGCCUGAUGCAGCCAUGCCGCGUGUAUGAAGAAGGCCUUCGGGUUGUAAAGUACUUUCAGCGGGGAGGAAGGUGUUGUGGUUAAUAACCACAGCAAUUGACGUUACCCGCAGAAGAAGCACCGGCUAACUCCGUGCCAGCAGCCGCGGUAAUACGGAGGGUGCAAGCGUUAAUCGGAAUUACUGGGCGUAAAGCGCACGCAGGCGGUCUGUCAAGUCGGAUGUGAAAUCCCCGGGCUCAACCUGGGAACUGCAUUCGAAACUGGCAGGCUUGAGUCUUGUAGAGGGGGGUAGAAUUCCAGGUGUAGCGGUGAAAUGCGUAGAGAUCUGGAGGAAUACCGGUGGCGAAGGCGGCCCCCUGGACAAAGACUGACGCUCAGGUGCGAAAGCGUGGGGAGCAAACAGGAUUAGAUACCCUGGUAGUCCACGCCGUAAACGAUGUCUACUUGGAGGUUGUGCCCUUGAGGCGUGGCUUCCGGAGCUAACGCGUUAAGUAGACCGCCUGGGGAGUACGGCCGCAAGGUUAAAACUCAAAUGAAUUGACGGGGGCCCGCACAAGCGGUGGAGCAUGUGGUUUAAUUCGAUGCAACGCGAAGAACCUUACCUGGUCUUGACAUCCACAGAACUUUCCAGAGAUGGACUGGUGCCUUCGGGAACUGUGAGACAGGUGCUGCAUGGCUGUCGUCAGCUCGUGUUGUGAAAUGUUGGGUUAAGUCCCGCAACGAGCGCAACCCUUAUCCUUUGUUGCCAGCGGUCCGGCCGGGAACUCAAAGGAGACUGCCAGUGAUAAACUGGAGGAAGGUGGGGAUGACGUCAAGUCAUCAUGGCCCUUACGACCAGGGCUACACACGUGCUACAAUGGCGCAUACAAAGAGAAGCGACCUCGCGAGAGCAAGCGGACCUCAUAAAGUGCGUCGUAGUCCGGAUUGGAGUCUGCAACUCGACUCCAUGAAGUCGGAAUCGCUAGUAAUCGUGGAUCAGAAUGCCACGGUGAAUACGUUCCCGGGCCUUGUACACACCGCCCGUCACACCAUGGGAGUGGGUUGCAAAAGAAGUAGGUAGCUUAACCUUCGGGAGGGCGCUUACCACUUUGUGAUUCAUGACUGGGGUGAAGUCGUAACAAGGUAACCGUAGGGGAACCUGCGGUUGGAUCACCUCCUUACCUUAAAGAAGC